CAGUCGCCGCGGUAAUACAGAGGGUGCGAGCGUUAAUCGGAUUUACUGGGCGUAAAGCGUGCGUAGGCGGCUUCUUAAGUCGGAUGUGAAAUCCCUGAGCUUAACUUAGGAAUUGCAUUCGAUACUGGGAAGCUAGAGUAUGGGAGAGGAUGGUAGAAUUCCAGGUGUAGCGGUGAAAUGCGUAGAGAUCUGGAGGAAUACCGAUGGCGAAGGCAGCCAUCUGGCCUAAUACUGACGCUGAGGUACGAAAGCAUGGGGAGCAAACAGGAUUAGAUACACCAGUAGUCCCUGUCUCUUAUAC
rnacentral:rRNA from 1 species